rnacentral:rRNA from 1 species
AUUGAACGCUGGCGGCAGGCCUAACACAUGCACGUCGAGCGGAGCGGCGGACGGGUGAGUACUGCCUAGGAAUCUGCCUGGUAGUGGGGGAUAAAGUCCGGAAACGGGCGCUAAUACUGCAUACUUUCAGAUGAGCCUAGGGCGGAUUAGCUAGUUGGUGGGGUAAAGGACUACCAAGGCGGCGAUCCGUAACUGGUCUGAGAGGAUGAUCAGUCACACUGGAACUGUGACACGGUCCAGACUCCUACGGGAGGCAGCAGUGGGGAAUAUUGGACAAUGGGCGAAAGCCUAAUCCAGCCAUGCCGCGUGUGUGAAGAAGGUCUUCGGAUUGUAAGGCGCUUUAAGUUGGGAGGCGUGACGAACAGAAUAAGCACCGGCUAACUUCGUGCGAGCAGCCGCGGUAAUUC